GGGACACGUGGUAUCCUGUCUGAAUAUGGGGGGACCAUCCUCCAAGGCUAAAUACUCCUGACUGACCGAUAGUGAACCAGUACCGUGAGGGAAAGGCGAAAAGAACCCCGGCGAGGGGAGUGAAAAAGAACCUGAAACCGUGUACGUACAAGCAGUGGGAGCCUCUUUUAUGGGGUGACUGCGUACCUUUUGUAUAAUGGGUCAGCGACUUAUAUUCUGUAGCAAGGUUAACCGAAUAGGGGAGCCGAAGGGAAACCGAGUCUUAACUGGGCGUUAAGUUGCAGGGUAUAGACCCGAAACCCGGUGAUCUAGCCAUGGGCAGGUUGAAGGUUGGGUAACACUAACUGGAGGACCGAACCGACUAAUGUUGAAAAAUUAGCGGAUGACUUGUGGCUGGGGGUGAAAGGCCAAUCAAACCGGGAGAUAGCUGGUUCUCCCCGAAAGCUAUUUAGGUAGCGCCUCGUGAAUUCAUCUCCGGGGGUAGAGCACUGUUUCGGCAAGGGGGUCAUCCCGACUUACCAACCCGAUGCAAACUGCGAAUACCGGAGAAUGUUAUCACGGGAGACACACGGCGGGUGCUAACGUCCGUCGUGAAGAGGGAAACAACCCAGACCGCCAGCUAAGGUCCCAAAGUCAUGGUUAAGUGGGAAACGAUGUGGGAAGGCCCAGACAGCCAGGAUGUUGGCUUAGAAGCAGCCAUCAUUUAAAGAAAGCGUAAUAGCUCACUGGUCGAGUCGGCCUGCGCGGAAGAUGUAACGGGGCUAAACCAUGCACCGAAGCUGCGGCAGCGACGCUUAUGCGUUGUUGGGUAGGGGAGCGUUCUGUAAGCCUGUGAAGGUGUGCUGUGAGGCAUGCUGGAGGUAUCAGAAGUGCGAAUGCUGACAUAAGUAACGAUAAAGCGGGUGAAAAGCCCGCUCGCCGGAAGACCAAGGGUUCCUGUCCAACGUUAAUCGGGGCAGGGUGAGUCGACCCCUAAGGCGAGGCCGAAAGGCGUAGUCGAUGGGAAACAGGUUAAUAUUCCUGUACUUGGUGUUACUGCGAAGGGGGGACGGAGAAGGCUAUGUUGGCCGGGCGACGGUUGUCCCGGUUUAAGCGUGUAGGCUGGUUUUCCAGGCAAAUCCGGAAAAUCAAGGCUGAGGCGUGAUGACGAGGCACUACGGUGUUGAAGCAACAAAUGCCCUGCUUCCAGGAAAAGCCUCUAAGCAUCAGGUAACAUCAAAUCGUACCCCAAACCGACACAGGUGGUCAGGUAGAGAAUACCAAGGCGCUUGAGAGAACUCGGGUGAAGGAACUAGGCAAAAUGGUGCCGUAACUUCGGGAGAAGG
rnacentral:rRNA from 1 species